GACCCAAUAAACGAGAAUUUAGAUUACAACCAUGAAUUGAACAAAAUAACCUAAGUCAUAAAACUUCUCGCUUGCUUCGUUCAACCCAACUCUCGGCACAUUUUUCAAGCUCGGAUUCUAAAUUCCCAUAAAUCAAUUGCUCUCAACCGUUGACGUUGAUCAAGUAAAGGUGAGAUUCAUCUCGUUUCUUCUGUUGUAGGGGCUUCCGUUUGACGUUUCUGAUGUAGCUAGCGACCGAUGAUUUCAUCAAUGGUUGUAUUUCUGGACGUAAAAAAAAAGAGGAAAGCCGAGAACACUAACUAAAGAAUAGCGCUCUGUAAAACAUGGCUGUACACAUCGCCUCCACCACCAAAUCCAAGCUCGGAGAGAGGCCAAAGACCUCCAAACCGAAAUCAGACCACAAUAAAAGCGAGUCCGAGACACCAGCCGCACCUGAUCCAGUAAAGCUCAUAACCUGCAAACAAGCAAUAGCAAGGCAGCACCACCGCAACAACCAAGUAGCUGACCACGGCCUGGGAUGUGCUACUCCACCGAAAGGAGUCACCGGAGACCACAAGACCACAAAGACAAAACGCAAACUACACGAGCACUGCCAAUCGCCGUCCUCGAGAACCGAAGCCCGAAUACUUGCAACCCGUUAAGCAUUGUACCAGUGAUAUCGCACAACAACAGAAAUCAACACACAUAGAACAUCCUAGUGAACUUCGUCGACAAAGAAUCACUAGGGGACCAGAAAAGGAACCGGGAAGCUGAGGAACCAGAGGGUGGGAGUUCACCACUGAGCCUCAGAGAAAUCCAUAGACGACCUCACUGCAGCAACCUCAACGAACCACCACCUAAAGUAUUAACACACGCCAAUACCAUAAGCUAAGAGCGUCCUCGAGUUAAGGGAACCUCCGAGACACCCCUCGCGGAGGGAGACAGUUGCGGCUCACAAGACAUCAACAAUGUUACCACCAACUGCACCUAACGCCUCUCAUCACCGACCUGGGAGCAAAGUCACCGGACCGGAAUAGAGCAGCUCCUCCUCCUUCACGCGCUGAAGCUUCUCCAGACGAAAAGGAUCACAUGUAUAACCCAAAAAGCCGACUCUUCAGACAAACACACCUUACGCUGACCGCGUCAAGACUCUAUCUCCAACUGAAAUCGCGGCGGCCCGGACCUCCUCUCAAGCGAAGACGAGAAUGAGCGAUCCUCCAGAGACAGAACCAUCCACAAGACGGCCAAGGGAGCCAGCGAGAUGUCAGAGAAGCAAGGAGAAGACGAGAUGGAAGGGAGAACGGUGGAGGCGCCGUCCGGACGCCGGACCCAAAGCUCAAUUUUUAGAUUUGUAAACUAGAGAGAAAGCGAGGAGAGAGAAAGUCGAGUCUUUGUUAUUUGGUAUGAAUUAAAUCGACCCGAUAAACGGGAA
rnacentral:lncRNA from 1 species